rnacentral:rRNA from 1 species
CUCUAUUUGAAGGUAUAAAGAGUAUAACCUGCUCACUGAUAAAAGUUUAAGAGCCGCAGUAUUUUGACUGUGCAAAGGUAGCAUAAUCGUUUGUUUUUUAAUUGGAAUCUUGUAUGAAUGGUUGGACAAGAGAAAAACUGUCUUUAUAAGAAAAAUUGAAUUUAACUUUUAGAUGAAAAGGUCUAAAUAAAUUAAAGGGACGAUAAGACCCUAUAAAGCUUAAUAUAAAAAGUUAGUUAAUUAAAUUUUAUUAAAAUAAAAAUGAAUUAAUUUAAUAUAUUUUGUUGGGGCGACAGAGGUAAAAUUAUUAUUAACUACUUAAAUAAGAUUCAAAUAUAAGUGUAAUUUUAAAAGAUCCUAGUUAAAGAUUUAAAGUUUAAGUUACUUUAGGGAUAACAGCGUUAUUUUUUUUGAGAGUACUUAUCGAGAAAAAAGUUUGCGACCUCGAUGUUGAAUUAAAAUAUCUUUAUAAUUGCAGAAGUUAUAAAAGAAGGUCUGUUCGACCUUUAAAUUUUUACAUGAUUUGAGUUCAGACCGGCGUGAG